UGUGUGUGUGUGUGUGUGUGUGUGUGUGUAUAAAAUGCAGGGAGAACUGGGUGUUCUAUAUUUACAUCUGUUUGCCUAAGAAUUCAGGGCAGGUGUCUGGGCUCUGGACAGUAUGGGAUUGGGUGGGGGACAUUGUUAAAAACAUUAAAAAAACUUCACAGUUCAGAUAAGGACUGUUCUUGGUCAAAAUGCAGGAAACCAAGAAGUAUUGGCCAGUAUUUUUUUUUUCUAGUGAGUCUUAUGUCCCUUUACCUGGGCUGGUGUGGCUCUUAGCUGUUUCUGGGUCCCUGACCCCUUUGAGAAGCUGACAAAAAUUAUUGGCCGUCUCACCAGCAAAAUGCACACAUACCCAGUGUCCUUGACAGUUGACAGGGUUAUAUGGAGUCCAAAAAGCCUGUGAUCUCUAGGUAGAGAAUGAUCCCUGGUUUGUUUAAUAUCCCUUUCUUUCUGUGACCCCCUUCUCUCCCCACUCAUCUGCCUUUACUUUUGCCCUCCCUGAGUUCCCUUGCUGUGGGGUUGGGGUGUUGUCAGGAAGUUCUUCCCUAGGUAUAACCUCUGCCAUUCUUAACCAAUCACUUUUCCUUUUCUUCUUUGCUUGAGCGGGCACCUGGCAGAGGCUUCUGAUCAGCUAUUAACUGAAGACUGGUCUAUAUUGCCCAAUUACUCUACAAUUCCUGAGAGUGGGGGAGUGCCUGGGGGCAUAUUGGCAGCAGUGGAAGCCUGGCUGUAGAGGGACCAAUUCCCAUCUCUAGUGGAAACUUGGAUGCCAGGAG
rnacentral:lncRNA from 1 species